rnacentral:lncRNA from 1 species
CUGAGUAUCUCCUUUGCAAACACCCACGAUCAGAAACUCAUUGAAUCAUGCAAUGAACAGAACCUUUGCACAUUCUAUGAGAAGAAAAUGGCCACAGAAACAGCCUUUGAUGUUCUGGGUGAAAAACAACAGGGUUGUGUGUUCUAAAUCAUUAAUUGGAAUGGCAAACAAGGUUUUCCUAUGAAUCAAGGUAUCCAAUGAACCAUGGCAGAAUACACCUAUUGUUCAGUAAGGAACAUUCUUGGUUUAGAUCAAAGAGAACUAGAGAUAGGAAGAACAAGUGUUUUCAUCUUCAUUAAUAUAAAGUAAAGAGAGAGGAUCUUCCUGAACUGACAGAUACUACCAUGCCUCAGUAUUUGGAAUCCAAAAGAGUUAGCAAAAUCUCAGAUCUUUUCAAUACCUCUAAAGGAAACAAUGCCCAUCAAUAUGUUGUCAGAAAGCCCUUUUAAAAAGAAGGUAAGCCCAGGAAUGAAGAACCAAGUCACGUGUCAUGAAACAAAAACAGAAAACAAAUAAAAACCCAAUAUGUAUGUCACUCUGAAGAAACAGUGUACUAAAAAAAAUAGGAGAUUGUGAAAUAUAUUACAUUUUUUGGCCAAUAUAUUGAAUGAAGCCAAAGAAAAUGUCAGCAACAAACUGGCACAAGAUGUAGGCUGUCCUCUCUGAGAGAUUCUAUUUUGAAGUCU